rnacentral:rRNA from 1 species
GAUGAACGCUGGCUACAGGCUUAACACAUGCAAGUCGAGGGGAAACGACGGGGAAGCUUGCUUCCCCGGGCGUCGACCGGCGCACGGGUGAGUAACGCGUAUCCAACCUGCCUCUGACUGAGGGAUAACCCGUCGAAAGUCGGCCUAAUACCUCAUGGUAUCGUCUGCGGGCAUCCAACGACGAUUAAAGAUUUCAUCGGUCAGGGAUGGGGAUGCGUCUGAUUAGCUUGUUGGCGGGGUAACGGCCCACCAAGGCUACGAUCAGUAGGGGUUCUGAGAGGAAGGUCCCCCACAUUGGAACUGAGACACGGUCCAAACUCCUACGGGAGGCAGCAGUGAGGAAUAUUGGUCAAUGGGCGAGAGCCUGAACCAGCCAAGUAGCGUGCAGGAAGACGGCCCUAGGGGUUGUAAACUGCUUUUAUGCGGGGAUAAAGUGAGGGACGUGUCCCUCAUUGCAGGUACCGCAUGAAUAAGGACCGGCUAAUUCCGUG